UACGUAGGUGGCGAGCGUUGUCCGGAUUUACUGGGCGUAAAGGGAGCGUAGGCGGACUUUUAAGUGAGAUGUGAAAGCCCACGGCUUAACCGUGGAGGGUCAUUGGAAACUGAGGGACUUGAGUACAGAAGAGGAGAGUGGAAUUCCACGUGUAGCGGUGAAAUGCGUAGAGAUGUGGAGGAACACCAGUGGCGAAGGCGACUCUCUGGUCUGUAACUGACGCUGAGGUGCGAAAGCGUGGGUAGCAAACAGGAUUAGAUACCCCUGUAGU
rnacentral:rRNA from 1 species